rnacentral:rRNA from 1 species
UACGGAGGGGGCGAGCGUUGUUCGGAAUCAUUGGGCGUAAAGGGCGCGUAGGCGGCCCUUUAAGUCAAAGGUGAAAUCCCUCGGCUCAACUGAGGAACUGCCUUUGAAACUGUCGGGCUUGAGGCCGGGAGGGGGUAGCGGAAUUCCCAGUGUAGCGGUGAAAUGCGUAGAUAUUGGGAAGAACACCGGUGGCGAAGGCGGCUACCUGGACCGGUUCUGACGCUGAUGCGCGAAAGCGUGGGGAGCAAAAGGG